UGUUGUGAGCUGCCCUAUGGAGAAGCCCAUGUGGCAAGGAACUGAUGUCUUCAGCAAGAAGCCAGCAAGGACCUGAGAUUGGCCGACAGCCACACGAGUGAGCCUGGAAGGUGAUCCUCCCUCAGUUGAACCUUGAGGUGACUGCAGCCCUGGCUGACACUUUGAUUGCAGCCUGUGAGACCUUGACACCUGGAUUCCUAACCCACAGAACAAGGGAUUCCCACCCUUAGCCGAGUGUCAUCUCUCUCAGCAGUUUUGUAGCAGGUCUUCCAUAUGUGUGAAUCAGCAACGUGGAAAACGGGAGCUUCAGAAAAAUUAAGGGAGGCUUGAAGUGAGCAGAGCAGAGUGUGGGCAGGAGCCGAGGGCUGCCACAGUGGGAAAAUCACGCGGCGCGUCAUCUAAGGGCGCUCCUGGCAACGUCUGCCCCUGAGGGGACAGUCAGAUCACUGUGACAGGGCAGAGAUGAAAAUACCCGGCACAGCCACGGUUCUCUAGUGGUGUGUGCUAUCAGGAUGGCCUGUACCAGUCUCAUUUAUUUUCCUGAAUCAUUUGAACAAAGCAGUUGCUGGACUCACUCUGCUGUGGUGAGAACCUGCGACAAGCACAAAUGCCUCUUCCCCCACCCCCUUUGCUCCCACGGCGCAGCGCCGAUAGCUUCUUGCUGGCAUGGACCUGAUCACAUGCCGAUCGGUGAUGGAUGGAUGAGCUGUCCCUUCCCUGGGCUCUGUCUGAGCUCCUCUAGGUGGGAACCUUGGCCUAGUUUCUUCCAUGUCUCCAGGGCUGGGCGUCUAGUAGGUUUCUGACGAGUAAAUGAACGCCUCUCCGGACACACAGGAGACACAGGAGGCUCCUAUAAUGGGAACAUGUUUAAUAGUACAGCACCCUGUUGGUUCUCCACAGUGGGUCGGACCCGGAGAAGGAAUCAUCGGUCCUUUCUAGGAAAGGCAUGUCUCCUGUGGAGACCGUACAAGGGAAGAUACCAGCAAUCUGGGGAUCAGGGCGGGCAGAGAUAGACAAAGGACCCAGGAAAAUAACACAGGAAGUGGAGGUGUUCAUCCCAGGGGGGCCCCAGGGCAUCCAGGCAGAGCUUGGGAACGGGGCUGGGGAAGGCUCACUCUCAGGAAGCCGUAUUUCAGUCCCCACAAAGCCCCCCACACUGACUCCCACGCUUUUCCAUACUUGUCCACUAGGGGGCAGGCAGAGGCAGGGGAAGAAGUGAGGUGGUGGCCAGUGGGCUCCAGAGCUGGGCUCAUCAGGCCGCAGUACUCCCAGGCUCACGUCCAACACACUGGGCUGUUUGUAUUACUCAGACAACAGGGCCAGGCCUCUCUUCCUGCCUGUUGUGGCCUCUGCGAUUUUAUAUGCUGUGGCUUGUGACAUCAGGUACCACGUGACCAUGGUGUAACCAAAGUAUACAGCUUGGUGUGAAUGUUAAUAAACAGG